CUAUUCACCACUGCACCCAUUCUUCAUUUACCUGAUCCAGUAAAAAAAACGUACUUUCUGGAAGUCAAUGCAUCUGACUCAGCUACAGGGCCAGUUUUAUCACAAAGAGACAGCUCAACUGGGCGAUUACACCCAAUAGACUUUUACUUUCAUAAAUUGACAGAGGAUGAAUCCAAUUACAAUGUGGGAGAUAAAGAACUACAGGCUAUCAAAACAGCACUCGAAGAAUGGAGACAUCUCCUGGAAGGUGCUAAAUUCCCCAUAACUAUUUAUACCAACCAUAAAAACUUAGAAUACAUCCGAACAGCUAAACAUCUCAAUCCCCGUCAAGCCAGGUGGGCUGUGUUCUUUUCACGCUUUUU